rnacentral:ncRNA from 1 species
GGGAUUGCCUUAGUAGCGGCGAGUGAAGCGGCAAGAGCUCAAAUUUGAAAUCUGGUACCUUCGGUGCCCGAGUUGUAAUUUGAAGAAAGUAAUCUUGGAGGUGGCCUUUGUCUAUGUUCCUUGGAACAGGACGUCAUGGAGGGUGAGAAUCCCGUGUGAUGAGGUGUCCAUCUCCGUGUAAGAUGCUUUCGAAGAGUCGAGUUGUUUGGGAAUGCAGCUCAAAGUGGGUGGUAAAUUCCAUCUAAAGCUAAAUAUUGGCGAGAGACCGAUAGCGAACAAGUACUG